rnacentral:tRNA from 1 species
GCCUGGGUGGCUCAGUUGGUUAAGCGUCUGACUUCAGCUCAGGUCAUGAUCUCGUGGUUCAUGGGUUCGGCCCCUGCUCAGGCU